rnacentral:rRNA from 1 species
UACAGAGGUCUCAAGCGUUGUUCGGAUUCAUUGGGCGUAAAGAGCUCGUAGGCGGCUCAGUAAGUCGGGUGUGAAACCUCCAGGCUCAACCUGGAGACGCCACCCGAUACUGCUGUGGCUAGAGUCCAGUAGGGGAGUGUGGAAUUCCCGGUGUAGCGGUGAAAUGCGCAGAUAUCGGGAGGAACACCUAUGGCGAAGGCAGCUCGCUGGGACGUUACUGACGCUGAGACGCGAAAGCGUGGGGAGCAAACAGG